GUCUGGAAAGGCGCGCGAUACAGGGUGACAGCCCCGUACACAAAAAUGCACAUACUGUGAGCUCGAUGAGUAGGGCGGGACACGUGGUAUCCUGUCUGAAUAUGGGGGGACCAUCCUCCAAGGCUAAAUACUCCUGACUGACCGAUAGUGAACCAGUACCGUGAGGGAAAGGCGAAAAGAACCCCGGCGAGGGGAGUGAAAAAGAACCUGAAACCGUGUACGUACAAGCAGUGGGAGCACGCUUAGGCGUGUGACUGCGUACCUUUUGUAUAAUGGGUCAGCGACUUAUAUUCUGUAGCAAGGUUAACCGAAUAGGGGAGCCGAAGGGAAACCGAGUCUUAACUGGGCGUUAAGUUGCAGGGUAUAGACCCGAAACCCGGUGAUCUAGCCAUGGGCAGGUUGAAGGUUGGGUAACACUAACUGGAGGACCGAACCGACUAAUGUUGAAAAAUUAGCGGAUGACUUGUGGCUGGGGGUGAAAGGCCAAUCAAACCGGGAGAUAGCUGGUUCUCCCCGAAAGCUAUUUAGGUAGCGCCUCGUGAAUUCAUCUCCGGGGGUAGAGCACUGUUUCGGCAAGGGGGUCAUCCCGACUUACCAACCCGAUGCAAACUGCGAAUACCGGAGAAUGUUAUCACGGGAGACACACGGCGGGUGCUAACGUCCGUCGUGAAGAGGGAAACAACCCAGACCGCCAGCUAAGGUCCCAAAGUCAUGGUUAAGUGGGAAACGAUGUGGGAAGGCCCAGACAGCCAGGAUGUUGGCUUAGAAGCAGCCAUCAUUUAAAGAAAGCGUAAUAGCUCACUGGUCGAGUCGGCCUGCGCGGAAGAUGUAACGGGGCUAAACCAUG
rnacentral:rRNA from 1 species